rnacentral:tRNA from 1 species
GCCCUUGUGGUCCAACUGUUAAGCACUCAGCUGCUAAGUGAAAGGUUGGUGGUUCAAAUCCACCCAGCAGCU